rnacentral:rRNA from 1 species
AUGCCUACAAAUAUCUGUGUGUGGACAUUUGUGGCCUUUGUAAGUCUGGAGGAAAAAAUAUAUACAUUUUGUGAGGGUUUAUGUGUUUUACCUACCCUUUUCCAUUGUACCAGUGUGCGCGAUUUUGCAAUCUGUUUGUGCUUGGGUGCCACUAGUGAAGGGCAGUUUGCAUUGCAAAAUCAGAUCCCUCUCUUUGGGCAAAAUGUGUGGCAACUUGUUGCAAGAUGGUCCGUUGGUUUCACAAUAUAUAUGCCCCGUCUGAUAUCAAGGGAGGCACAAAAUUUGCUGCCGCUGAAGAGUGGAACAUGA